rnacentral:rRNA from 1 species
UUUACUUCAUUGGGUAGGGGAGCGUUCUGUAAGCCGUUGAAGGUGUGUUGUAAAGCAUGCUGGAGGUAUCAGAAGUGCGAAUGCUGACAUGAGUAACGAUAAAGGGGGUGAAAAACCUCCUCGCCGGAAGACCAAGGGUUCCUGUCCAACGUUAAUCGGGGCAGGGUAAGUCGACCCCUAAGGCGAGGCCGAAAGGCGUAGUCGAUGGGAAACGGGUUAAUAUUCCCGUACUUCUUACAAUUGCGAUGGGGGGACGGAGAAGGCUAGGUGGGCCUGGCGACGGUUGUCCAGGUUCAAGUGCGUAGGCUGAAGAGUUAGGUAAAUCCGGCUCUUCUUAAGGCUGAGACACGACGUCGAGCUACUACGGUAGUGAAGUCAUUGAUGCCAUGCUUCCAGGAAAAGCCUCUAAGCUUCAGAUUGUAAGGAAUCGUACCCCAAACCGACACAGGUGGUCGGGUAGAGAAUACCAAGGCGCUUGAGAGAACUCGGGUGAAGGAACUAGGCAAAAUGGUACCGUAACUUCGGGAGAAGGUACGCUCUUGAUGGUGAAGUCCCUUGCGGAUGGAGCUGACGAGAGUCGCAGAUACCAGGUGGCUGCAACUGUUUAUUAAAAACACAGCACUGUGCAAAAUCGUAAGAUGACGUAUACGGUGUGACGCCUGCCCGGUGCCGGAAGGUUAAUUGAUGGGGUUAGACUUCGGUCGAAGCUCUUGAUCGAAGCCCCGGUAAACGGCGGCCGUAACUAUAACGGUCCUAAGGUAGCGAAAUUCCUUGUCGGGUAAGUUCCGACCUGCACGAAUGGCGUAAUGAUGGCCACGCUGUCUCCACCCGAGACUCAGUGAAAUUGAAAUCGCUGUGAAGAUGCAGUGUACCCGCGGCUAGACGGAAAGACCCCGUGAACCUUUACUACAGCUUGGCACUGAACAUUGACCCUACAUGUGUAGGAUAGGUGGGAGGCUUUGAAGC